GAUGAACGCUGGCGGCGUGCCUAAUACAUGCAAGUCGAGCGAACGGACGAGAAGCUUGCUUCUCUGAUGUUAGCGGCGGACGGGUGAGUAACACGUGGAUAACCUACCUAUAAGACGGGGAUAACUUCGGGAAACCGGAACUAAUACCGGAUGAUAUUUUGAACCGCAUGGUUCAAAAGUGAAAGACGGUCUUGCUGUAACUUAUAGAUGGAUCCGCGCUGCAUUAGCUAGUGGGUAAGGUAACGGCUUACCAAGGCAACGAUGCAUAGCCGACCUGAGAGGGUGAUCGGCCACACUGGACCUGAGCCACGGUCCAGCCUCCUACGGGAGCCAGCAGUAGGGAAUCUUCCGCAAUGGGCGAAAGCCUGCCGGAGCAACGCCGCGUGAGUGAUGAAGGUCUUCGGACCGUAAACCUCUGUUAUUAGGGAAGACCAUAUGUGUAAGUAACUGUGCACAUCUUGACGGUACCUAAUCAGAAAGCCACGGCUAACUACGUG
rnacentral:rRNA from 1 species